UCAAAAAAGUGUUUUUAUUUUAAAAGUAAAAGAUCCCCAAAAUGCUAAAUAGCACCAUAGCAUAAACACACUUUUACAAAAAUAUGUACAAAGAUAUGAAGGUAAAAUUAAUUACAUCAGUAACAAAGUUUGAAAUUAUGGACUCUAUGUGUAAAAGUAAUGCCAACUAAGCCUCAUUUUAAAGUUCACUGGUUCUCUUGGAUCGAAAGUAGAAAUAUCCUAUUCUUUGUAUUGGUCAGUCAGAAUGGAAUGCUAAAGACAUUUCCAUUCGAAAUCUUCCCAAAAUGAACACCAAAGUAACAGCUGAAUGAAAUUCAAGGACUAGCCCUUUAUUUUAAGAAAAUGAAGAGAUAAGUACAAUUAGGAAUCCUCUAAUAAACCAGGAAUUCUAUACACAGGGUCAGACAAAAGUAGAUUUACAGUUGUGAGAAAUGUGAAACAGAAUUUAUUCUUGUAUUAUAAUUUAUUACUGUAUUAUUUUCCAUACAAACAACUGUGAGCCUACUUUUGCCCCACACUGGACUUAACUUAGGCUUCAAAUUCCAACACAGCAGCUGGUUCUUUACAUAAGAGACUGAGUUCUGGGAGUUAGUGAACAUUCUCUAUGUUAAUAAAGUUAUACAAAUAACUAACAGUCCUCUAGUAAUUAAGUUUAUGAUCAAAACUUUUGUUGAACAUUUAGAAAAUAAAUUCACCACACAAGCAAAGCCAAACAGUCCAUAUUUAGAGGUACUGUGGUUACUACACAAAAAUACUUAUUUGGCACAAAUUUCAAAUGUAAGUUUCCAUUAAAAUUGGAAUCGGAACACUCACAAUUCAAAACUAAGUGAAUCAGAACACAAUAUAUAAAUUUCAAGAGUUGUAAUAGAUUUCAAUGAACACUUUGUCAGAAAACUAAACUGGAAACUUAGGGCAAUAAUUCCUUUAUGAAUUGUCUUCUUUUAAAGUAUGGCAGAGCCCUUUCUGCUAGACUGUGAUAUGCACAUUUGGGGAAGAAAACAAAAAAACAAAGUCUUGAGAUCCAGAAAACUGCAACUAAAAAUAACAAAGCUUAUGGAAAAAAACAGGAUUAAGGCAGAUUACUCAAAAUCAGUGUAACUUUAUCAUCAAACCCCAACUAACACAAUAAAAACACCUUAUAAAAAUAUUAGCACAGUUAAGUCGGCACUUAAAUUUUCACCUAGCAUUAUGGUCUCUGAACCUUUUUUAAAACCCUGGAGCUCCGGCUUCAUUUAUUAUAUGGAUUCUCGAGUGCAUUUGUUUCUAGUCUACCAAUUUCAGUGGAAUUAAAAAUAUCAUCUAAGAUAUAGAUUUCUUCAACAAAGUUCUUAAUGCAAAGGAAAUGUCUUCACAUCUUCUUUGUGCUAACUGCUUCACCAGGGAGCUUAACACUGUGGAUUAUGAAACCAUUCUUGAAGCUACUCAUCCAACAGCAUUUUUACUAAAUAAGAUGUCUGCAGGAUUUUCAGUGUUUUCCUUAACAUUUUCUUAUAUUACUAAUACUUUCUUUUAACUGUGAGAAAGUUUGUUCUUGAUUGCUUUAAAACAUUAAUAUGCACCCUGGCUAGUGUGCUGGCCUGCAGACAAAGAGGUCACCAGUUCAAUUCCUGGUCAGGGCACAUGCCUGGGUUUAGGACCAGCAAGAGGCAACCUAACGACUGUUCUCUUUCUCUUUCUCCCUCCUUUCCUCUUUGUCUAAAAAUAAAUAAAUAAAAUCUUU